rnacentral:rRNA from 1 species
UACAGAGGUCUCAAGCGUUGUUCGGAUUCAUUGGGCGUAAAGGGUGCGUAGGCGGCGCGGUAAGUCGGAUGUGAAAUCUCGGAGCUUAACUUCGAAACUGCAUUCGAUACUGCCGUGCUUGAGGACUGGAGAGGAGACUGGAAUUUACGGUGUAGCGGUGAAAUGCGUAGAUAUCAGGAGGAACACCGGUGGCGAAGGCGGGACUCUGGGCCGAUACUGACGCUGAGGAGCGAAAGCGUGGGGAGCGAACAGG